UCCAAUCAAUUUUUUUCAAAAAAAAUUUAGGAAUCUAUAGCCCAGCGCUAACAUAAACUCUGGAAAAUAACUUGGGAGAAUUAUAGAGUAUGCUUGAAAUGGUUAUUAAUAGUAUUAUAUUACAUCAAUAAAAAACCAAACUUCCCAAAUACGACUUCAUAAGUUCUUGAAAGAGAGACCAAAUAUGAGAUUACAAACCCCAUGUACAAGAACACCAAUAGUUACUACUAUUAUUUCCCUCGAAAGGAAUUUAUUCUUAACACUACUUGAUAAAAGAGAAAGCUUAACAUGAGUACUAAUACUUCUACUACUUGAUACAUAUUUUUAUCUCAGAUCCAUUACUUAAAAAAGAUUCUCUCUUUUGAUUCUUUUUCUCUUCAACCAUAUGAUAUUCAGAACUAAAACGAUAUUCGGAACUCACUGGUCCGACUAAUCAGUAAUGCAAAACAUCUGCAGUCUUCAACCAUCUUAUAUUCGAAACUCACUGAUCCGACUAAUCAGUACUGCAAGACAUCUGCAGUCAUGAUAGGCUGAUUGGCACAGAGAUAAUUCCAAGAAUUGGUCGUGUUGAACCCAUCAAUCAUAGGUUCAUUUUGUGCAAAAUUGAAGCUAUAAGGCUCUUCUUGAUUAUGAUCCAUAUUGGCAAAACCAUUACAAUUGUUGUUGGCAUCCAAGAAAGCAAUAAUUUCAUUGAGUGACUCAAGCCUGUGAUUUAAUUCAGCUAAUUGAGCUCUCAAGAUUGAAUUUUCAGCCUCAACAUUAAGAUAAUGUUGUGUGGUAACAUUCAUGCUUGUCAAAAUCUGGUUAUUUUCUUUUCUUAGUGUUGCAACUUGAGCCAUUAAAUCAUCCAAAUGUUUCUGUUUUCUCAUCCUUGAUCUUCGAGCUGACUCUCUGUUUGAUAUCAUUCUUUUUCUCUUCCUUUGAUCCAUUAAUUGCUGAAGAUCUUCUUCUGAGCCUGAGUUUUGUAGAAACAAUGAUGACCCUGACGAUGUUCCACUUGAUGAAGCCAUGACCAAAAUUUUUUUCAAGAACAAUAGUAAUAUUUUCAAGAUUUAGAGAGAGUUAAAAGUACAAAAUAAAAAACAAGCAGGACCCAAAUGGAGUUUUUGACUUAAAAACAGAGAACUAUAUAUAUUAAAAAUACUGAAGAUUUUUUUAUUGAUAAUAAUAAUAUAUGGAGGGGUUAACUAAUAUAUAGAGAGGUUUAAUACUUAUUUAGAGGGAGAAGAGGAAAAUCAUGAAAUGUAGUAAAACCAAUAGAGGAAAACAACUGAGAAAGAUUGCACCAAAUGGGUCCUGCGCCUAUAUGUGGAAUUUAUCAUAAACCCCGAAAGAAACAGUUCACUGAGAAUUGCAGACAUGAAUUUCAAAGAUUAAAAAUACUAGGGGUAGCAUUAAGAUUAGCUAAAAUAAUAAAACCACUGAUGAUUAAUUCUCAAUAAAUAUAUAUAUCAAGGCUAGAUUUCUCCUGUUGAGACUACCACUGAUGAUUAAUUCUUAGUAAAUAUAUAUAUUUAUAUAUAUAUAUAUAUCAAGGCUAGAUUUCUCCUGUUGAGAGCCCAGCCUGAUAACAACAGAAGAAAAUUAAAAAAAAGACACUUUUCUUGGUAUUUUUUUCCAGAGUUUUUGGGUGGAGAUUUCAAGAAAAUCUUGAAACCAAAAACUAAACUUGACAGAAUAAGAGACCAAGAAACUGAGAGCCUUUGGCUAUUGGCAAAGAGGAGAGAAAAGGAAGGAGAAAAAGAGAGGGGUUAAAGAAGGUGUUUUGGUUGGGAUUUUAUAGAAGAAAAAAGUGGGUGAC
rnacentral:lncRNA from 1 species